ensembl:lncRNA
AUUUCGUAUUUGUACCACUAGAUGGCGACGUUGCUACACAUACCCGAUGGUCCAGACUGACUAACUACUCUCUAACUUUUCCUACACACCACACACGCUAAACGAAUGAUGUAUAAUGUGAGCGAGGAAAGUGUAAAAAAACCGGAGGUGGGGGACAGUAAGGAGGAGGCGGAGGAGUAGAAGGUUGAUGAGGAGGAGCAGGAGGAGGAGGAGGAGGUGGAGCUGGACAGAAAAGGAGUUGGAGGGAAUGCCCUGAUGACAGUUCUCCCACUUUGUUUUUCCUCCUCGAAACGGACCAAGGCCAUGAUGUUCAAUCUCCUCCAUCGACCGGUGUCAUCAAAAGGGCUGCCAAUAUCCUGUCCUUCUUAAUUCGUAAGGCGAGGCACAACCCUGGCCUGCCAACGGCGCCGAUGGAGAUGGGGAUACCGAGCCCCCAAAGCCCGUCAGACCUCCCUCUUCUUAGUGAUCCCAAUUCCCAUAAUUGCCCGGGUCUGCUUGACGAGCCAUCUAGCGCAGCUGCGCUGAACGCCCGGUCCGCCCACAACACACUGGAGAUGAGAGGCACUCGCUGGAAGCGUUCUGCUUCUUCCCCCACACAUCCCAACGUAGUGGCUUAUUUCCAUGCAGAAACAGUAAAACAAGUAUGGAGUAUGAAAGCCAUCCAUCUGCUCCGGGAAUUAAGAUGCUAGACAUGUAUUUGUUUGGAUAUGACAAGUGACAAGUGGAAAUCCUUGGCUGAGCGAUGUGCCUGAUAUGCACGGUUACUAUCAGGAUAUCACGUUGCAUAAAAUAUUGAAGAUCAUAAAUAAAACAUUUGAGUGUA